rnacentral:lncRNA from 1 species
CUUUCCUCACUCCUAGCAACCUCCCCAGCCAUCCGCCCGAGCCUCCGGAGCUCCCGUUGCUGUCCAUUGCCGCCAUGGCUGCCGCACGGCCUCGGCUAAAUUAGCCCGAGCCGAGCCCUCCCCCUCCUUUCUGUCGCCACCAGAGAGCUCCCUGGACCUCCUCUAGCCUCCCCAGAACCCCAGCUCUCCUUCCCAGCCUCCGGAGCCCUCCCUUGCCAUGGAGCCGCCGCCCUCUGUCUCAGCCGUCGCGACCAACUCCGGCGGUCCCCGAGGCCAGCGCGGCCACCCACGAGCGCGGGAUGGAGAGGUGCGUCCAUCCCCAGCAGCGCCCUAUCCUCCCGUGGCCUCCCAUCGCCGGCGCAGGUGAGGCCGCAGCCGUCGCUGCCCUCUGUUAUUCGCAUCGGGAGGAAGAAGAAGGAGCGAGGAGAGAGAGAGAGAGAGAGAGGAGGGAGAUGACCAGCAGCGUGGGCCCCGCGGCCCACCAAUCAGCCUCCUAGCUGACGGCCCCGUUUUGACCCUGCCCCGCCACGUCAGCGUUAGUGGCAACGUAGUUUACAAAAUACGCUUUCCGUUUUUCUGUCCAGGCCCAUGUUUGAAAAUCUUUUCAUUGCAGAUAGGUCCCUCGGAGAAAAACAUCCAUAUCUUUUUAUCAAUAACUCCAAAUAAGGUGAAACCAACGCUCACUUCUUUGUCUCGUCGAGCCCGUCCUGUUGGUUUCAUUUUCACUAUGGUUUGAUACUGUGAAAAUGACCAUUUUGCCCUUGCCCAAAUCAGCCCCCUUCGGGAGAGAACGUUUUUCGGCGAUUCUUUCCGCAAGUUUCUUGCACGUCUUCCCGGAGUCUCCGUCAUCCCCAGGAAAGCCGCAAUACCCACUUACAUGAUAGUCAUGCAGUAGCCAUGGUUUUCAACUUGAAUCUUUACUAAAUGUUUGCUUGUUGAAAAGUUGGUUAUCGCUGUUCCAGUGAUGUUUAGAUUUGCAUGUUCACUUUUGUGCUAUGUUGUCUUGUACUCUAUUAUCAUGUUCUACCCGCUAGUAUUUCCUUUCAUAUGUUUAUGCUUGCUAGUAGUACAUGUUGAUGUUGGUGAUGGUCAUGCUAGUCAGUGUGCCAUGCUCAGUGGAUAUGAUUUAUUGUUGAUAUGGUUGAUAGUUAUGUGAUACCCUCAUGAUUAUGUUGAUAUCAUGUUCAUGUAUUUUAUCAUGGCUCAAUAUAUUUUCAUUCAAGUUAACUGUAUUAAAUUGAACUUGAACAACUGUUGGCUAAGGCAUGGUGCCGCUGAAUCGAUGCUGACCAGUGCAACCACGCUUACCGGUAUGGGACGGUCCUAACUGGGUCUAUUGUCAUGCCUCUCGCCGGUGCCGCCAACGAGGGAAGGUUAUGGGCACGCGCUACCCUGAUUAGGUAGGCGAACAUAAGCCUUGUGUGCCCAUUGUUGAGUUAGUUUUUGGAUCCAGGUCCCAGAGUGGGAUGGGACACGACGGUUGUCGUUGUGUCUUUGAGGUAGACACGGGGCCACCCAUGACUUAGCCCAGAGGGGAGUUGGUCGGAGUGGCCGGGAGAGUGUCAUGGUAGUAGAUCGGUUUUGUCGGAACGCCGUUGGUCCACCCGAAUGGGAGUGCGAGGCCAUGGGUUCCGUAGUGUGGGUACAGUGUACUAACCUCUGUAGAGUGUAUAUUAAAUCUAUCAAUAGCCGCGCCUGCGGAUAAGGGCCCAGGUCGAAAGUAGGGUACACCAUGAGUCAACAGUAAUAAGAAUAAUGCGCUUAAUAACAAUGAGAUAAGUUGGUUGUGAUCGUCGUAAGGAUCACGGGCCAUUUAGUGGUCGGGUUGUGAUCGCCGUAAGGAUCACAGGCCAUUUAGUGGUCGGGUUGUGAUCGCUGUAAGGAUCACGAGCCAUUUAUUGGUCGGGUUGUGAUCACCGUAAGGAUCACGGGCCAAGUGUUGGUCGGGUUGUGAUCGCCGCAAGGAUCACGGUGGUAUCGAGGAUACCGAGUUAUUGUAUAUUCGUGAUGUUGUGCGAGUAAAGAUCAAGCUCCUUGUGGUCAUUUAAUGAUUACUAUGGUAUUGUUUAUACCAAGCUUGAUUUGAUCCUAAGAUGAUUGUGUGAUGAUCGAGGUCGGUAAGUGAUGCAUGUGAUGGUUACAAGGUAGACCGAGCAGAAUAAGUGGUGCAUGUAGUGGCAUCAUGUUGCAUGAUAGUAUUGUCGGAUUAAUAUGUUGAUGCCAUGUUCAUAAUGUGUUAACUGUAUCAUGUUAAAGUUGUUCAUGCUAUAUUGUUCUGAUGAUAUCAUGUUAAAUUCUACCUAACCUGUAAUUGCCAUGCUGUUGUCUGCCUUGAAUGCUUCUGGUUUAUUGUGAGCUUGCAAGUACAUUCAAUGUACUGACCUGGCGUGUCAUGCCAGUUUGCAGGUCAUGCCGGAUUUGAUUGCUUGGUUGUCGUGGUUUCCGUUCUGGCGAGCUAGGAUAAGCGUUCCAGCCAGAGUCCCUACGGAGAGGAGUCCACCACCGUUGUCGUUGUUCUGCUGCUAGAGUUAUUCCACUGCUUCGAGUUGUUCUGCUGCUUGCAUAGAGUAACUGAGAAUGGCAUAGUGUCACUGUACUGAUGUUAUUCAUUGUAAUAUCGGAGACCUUGUAUUCAUAUUCGUGUAAUAAUAGAAAGCUGGUUUGUUCUAUGCUAAGCAGUGCCGUAUUCCAGAAGACUUCUCCUCGAUCUCUGGGCUGGAAUACGGGGCGUUCCGGUUUCUCUGAGCCGGGGUGCCACAACUUUUCUCCUCUUGCAGUUGGGUUCAGUCGACGAAGACUCCACCAACUCACUCUGGCAGGACACCCUCACAAACGGCACCUUGUAGAUGCUCGAUCCUUCAAUCUCUGGUGGAUGCUCCAUCUGAGAUCGAUACUCCCACCACCGCUCCCUCACGAUCAUAUUUGGUGAAUCUGUUUGCUCUAUGGCCCAGAGGAGCAGCUCUAUGUACUCCGGCGCGACUCCCUCUGGGUGUAUCGCCGCCUUUUCGCUCUGUUGCAGAUAUUUGGCCAUGGAUGUCACCGUCGCCGCUAGCUGGUCCGUGUUGUCAAACCAAGACGGUAUCUCCAAAAUCCUAACUAGCUUCACAGGGUCGCCGUCUGCGAUCCUCACGUAUCGGUUGUACUCCUCCAUCGAUCUACUUCUCCACAACACCUUCACUCGCCGGCGGUGUUUUCUGAAUGGAAGAGGAGAGGAGCAACGCUGGUUUUGGAUUAGAACGGGAGAUGAGCGACGCUAGUUUUGGACUGGAAUAGGAGAGGAU